rnacentral:rRNA from 1 species
AACGAACGCUGGCGGCAGGCUUAACACAUGCAAGUCGAGCGCCCCGCAAGGGGAGCGGCAGACGGGUGAGUAACGCGUGGGGACGUACCUUUUGGUUCGAAACAACUCCGGGAAACUGGAGCUAAUACCGGAUAAGCCCUAACGGGGAAAGAUUUAUCGCCGAAAGAUCGGCCCGCGUCUGAUUAGCUAGGUGGUGAGGUAACGGCACACCAAGGCGACGAUCAGUAGCUGGUCUGAGAGGAUGAGAAGCCACAAUGGGACUGAGACCCGGACCAGACUGCUACGGGAGGGAGCAGUGGGGAAUAUUGGACACUGGGCGCAAGCCCGAUCCAGCCAUGUGGGGUGAGUGAGGAAGGCGUUAGGGUUGUAAAGUCCUCUUGUCCGAGAAGAUAAUGACUGUACCGGAAGAAUAAGCCCCGGCUAACUUCGUG